rnacentral:rRNA from 1 species
GAUGAACGCUGGCGGCGUGCCUAAUACAUGCAAGUCGAGCGAACGGACGAGAAGCUUGCUUCUCUGAUGUUAGCGGCGGACGGGUGAGUAACACGUGGAUAACCUACCUAUAAGACUGGGAUAACUUCGGGAAACCGGAGCUAAUACCGGAUGAUAUUUUGAACCGCAUGGUUCAAAAGUGAAAGACGGUCUUGCUGUCACUUAUAGAUGGAUCCGCGCUGCAUUAGCUAGUUGGUAAGGUAACGGCUUACCAAGGCAACGAUGCAUGGCCGACCUGAGAGGGUGAUCGGCCACACUGGAACUGAGACACGGUCCAGACUCCUACGGGAGGCAGCAGUAGGGAAUCUUCCGCAAUGGGCGAAAGCCUGACGGAGCAACGCCGCGUGAGUGAUGAGGGUCUUCGGAUCGUGAAACUCUGUUAUUAGGGAAGAACAUAUGUGUAAGUAACUGUGCACAUCUUGACGGUACCUAAUCAGAAAGCCACGGCUAACUACGUGCCAGCAGCCGCGGUAAUACGUAGGUGGCAAGCGUUAUCCGGAAUUAUUGGGCGUAAAGCGCGCGUAGGCGGUUUUUUAAGUCUGAUGUGAAAGCCCACGGCUCAACCGUGGAGGGUCAUUGGAAACUGGAAAACUUGAGUGCAGAAGAGGAAAGUGGAAUUCCAUGUGUAGCGGUGAAAUGCGCAGAGAUAUGGAGGAACACCAGUGGCGAAGGCGACUUUCUGGUCUGUAACUGACGCUGAUGUGCGAAAGCGUGGGGAUCAAACAGGAUUAGAUACCCUGGUAGUCCACGCCGUAAACGAUGAGUGCUAAGUGUUAGGGGGUUUCCGCCCCUUAGUGCUGCAGCUAACGCAUUAAGCACUCCGCCUGGGGAGUACGACCGCAAGGUUGAAACUCAAAGGAAUUGACGGGGACCCGCACAAGCGGUGGAGCAUGUGGCUUAAUUCGAAGCAACGCGAAGAACCUUACCAAAUCUUGACAUCCUUUGACAACUCUAGAGAUAGAGCCUUCCCCUUCGGGGGACAAAGUGACAGGUGGUGCAUGGUUGUCGUCAGCUCGUGUCGUGAGAUGUUGGGUUAAGUCCCGCAACGAGCGCAACCCUUAAGCUUAGUUGCCAUCAUUAAGUUGGGCACUCUAAGUUGACUGCCGGUGACAAACCGGAGGAAGGUGGGGAUGACGUCAAAUCAUCAUGCCCCUUAUGGUUUGGGCUACACACGUGCUACAAUGGACAAUACAAAGAGCAGCGAAACCGCGAGGUCAAGCAAAUCCCAUAAAGUUGUUCUCAGUCCGGAUUGUAGUCUGCAACUCGACUACAUGAAGCUGGAAUCGCUAGUAAUCGUAGAUCAGCAUGCUACGGUGAAUACGUUCCCGGGUCU